rnacentral:rRNA from 1 species
AGAGUUUGAUCCUGGCUCAGGAUGAACGCUAGCGGCAGGCUUAACACAUGCAAGUCGAGGGGCAGCGGGGUGUAGCAAUACACUGCCGGCGACCGGCGCACGGGUGCGUAACGCGUAUGCAACCUACCCAUAACAGGGGCAUAACACUGAGAAAUUGGUACUAAUUCCCCAUAACAUUCGAAGAGGCAUCUCUUUGGGUUGAAAACUCCGGUGGUUAUGGAUGGGCAUGCGUUGUAUUAGCUAGUUCGGU